rnacentral:lncRNA from 1 species
CCAAGUUCAUCACCUUGACCAAACAUCUGGAUUACAACACACAGAGUUCAAAGGUCCAGAGUGUGUGUCUGCACCUGGCCAGGCUGUUUAAACGGAGCUGACUUAAACCAAACACCAGACCUCGGUGCUGUUAUUUAUGUGGAAGAUUGGAUGCCAAGUAUAAAUAAUAACUACAGCAUCUUCUCUCCACAGGCUUUGUGAUUAAAGGAUGCAUAUAAAGGAUGCAUAUUCACCAUCUACUGUGCAUGAAGAGCUACCCACCUCUACUCUGAGUACCAGACUCUUCUCCCUAGCAGGCAGAUUUCCUUUCUACCAACCGUUUUUUAAUGUUUGUUUGCCUGAAUAGUAUCGAGACUCCCUUCUGCUGUGGAGCCCUCACUGGCCUCUUCAUUUCAGGUCAUCAGGUGGAGAGCACGCUGCAGAGAGGACUGUUCCCAUGCCCAGGAGAGGCUUGCGAGUGAGCUCCGUGUAAUCACUCACUGGCAGAAUGCAGUGCAGGGGGCUGGGGUUACAGUCAGCGAGGAGCGAGGCACGAUGAUGCUUUGGAGUGGAAGUGAGCUUUCAAAUCUCAGCAGCCCUGAGUGAUUCCUCCACUUAGGGCCAGUGUGUGUGUGAUGGGUGUGGUUGAGAGCUGCCAGGGGCACAGCAGGCGUGGCAGUAGAGGGACAAGUUAGACCAUGAGGUUGCUGGGCA